AUUGGAGAUUUGCGCUGCUGCCACAAUUUGACAUAAUAGAGACCAAUGAAACAAAAUCAAAAAUGUGGAGCGGAGAUUGUAGAGUAAUCAAGGCCGGCCCUCUUUGAAUGCUACCACCCCAAGAGGCUGAGACUUUUUUGGUGGAAGAAAGGCCACGGACAUCUCUCAAAUACUAUGGCGGAAUAGAUCAAGUUAAUUCUGUCAUUCACUUUUUUUGGGGGUGAUUCAAUUGAAAGUUUUUAGCUAAUUAUAAAAGUUCGUAAAUUAGAUCUAGUGCCUCCAUUCUCAGAUCUAUUAAUUUUAGAAUUACUAUAGGUAAUUUUUUUUUAAACUAGCAAAGGGUUAAUCUGAUGAUUUUGUGUCUAUUAGUUUAGUCGGGGAGUCUGGAAUUAGGUUUUUUUUGUUGUUGUUGUUUAUACCGGAAAUAAACGACCUGUGACUGCCAAACACGUGGACAGAAUCGAUAUUUAUCACAAUAACCCUUCGGCAUGUGCCCUACCGAAGCCGUACAUUUUGACAUUUUGCACCAGGACACGUGUCGUGCUUACAAUCCGCUUCUACAGUCCCACAUCGGAAAUAUGAGCAUGGUGCACGCCUCCCAAGGCCUAUAUAAGGAAACCCCUAUCCCCAAAAGGAAGGAAGAAAAACCAACGAUACGCUACCGCUUGAUCUGUAAUCUGAUAUUUACUAAAAUCGUACUUAUUUAAGCAUUGGAGAGCCUUCGGCCGGUACCACACCGGUAUCCCAAGGCCUUACCGAACGUGUCCUUUUGUAGGAACUUAUAUCUUCCGAAGGCAAAUUCCCCUUCCGAAGAUACAAGAUCACUAAGUUGAGCGGGCCACGUGUCAAACCACUUUUUCGCAUCAACAGUUUGGCGCCGCCCGUGGAAAUCGGCGAACCUUCCUACCGAACGGAAAACUUCGCACCGAAGCUGAACGAAGAAGCCAUUUCUCUGAGCCUUGACCUACUCGAAGAGCACCGAGCACAUGCCAACCUUCGGAAUGAAGCCUACAAGCAACGUGUCUCUCGGUAUUACGACUCUAGGGUCAGACACCGCUCAUUCCGAAUCGAAAACUGGGUCAUGCGCAAAGUAUCGCUAGCAACCAAAGAUGCCACGGAAGGAACCCUCGGACCUUCCUGGGAAGGACCCUAUGAGAUCAUCGGUAUCCUUCGUUCGGGAACCUACCGACUAAGAGACUCCAACGGCAAGACCCUCGGCCAUCCUUGGAACGUGGAACAUCUCAAAUACUACUACAAGUGACCUAGCCUACGGCACGUCCGAACUGUAACCGCUCACAAUGUAUUUGUUCAACUGAAAUUAAUAGAAAGUCUUCGGCACUAUUACUUCAGCCUCUCUUUGAUUGUUCUACUAGCCCACGGCUGCUUAUAGUGUCAAAGUUAACAUCCUACGACAUCUAUAUUAGCCUACGGCAAUAAAUGAUUUUCGAGGUUUUUACCCUACAGAUCCCAUCGGGACUUGUCAAAUUCGAAGUUAACAUUCGAUAGACGUCUUUAUUAGCCUACGGCAAUAAGCGAUGUUCGAUCGGCAAUUAGCCUACGGCAACUAGCGUAUGUUAUAACGCGAUCGGUAAUUAUAACAUAUUCAAAACACACUUGGGUUAAAACCAACACAUGGAUAAAAAAUGCCCUCGGCACCAAGUUAAAAUUGCUGAGACAAUUGAAUAAGAAGAGUAAGCUUAAAUUCAAAUUAAAGGAUGCCCUCGACACCAAUGUGUUCGGAAUUAAAAAAAAAAAAAGUUACAAGCACAAAAGAAAUAAAACGCCCUCAAGCUUCAUCACCGGCGGCAGCAUCCUCCCCUUCGUACUCCUCGAUCAUUUCCUCAGUUAUUCCCUCCGGAAGGGGAGGAGGAUCGGCAACAAAGUUCAGGUUCAACUUUUGCCCAGGGUUGUACCGUUUGAAUCGGUACAGCAAGUCUGCCAUCUCCGAACCCACUUCCCCAUCCAGAAGGGCAGUGAACUCUUCAGACGAGCGGUAUCCCUGGAUGGCUGACUGAACGGCAGCCUCGAUCUCCGCAGCCUUGGUCCGCUCGGACUCCUCCAAGGCAUCUUGAACCGCCUCCGAAGCCGCCUCGGCAUCCCUCGCUGCCUCCUGCGCUGCCUCCAAGGCCACCCGCAUCUCCUCCACCUUCGCCCCCGAAGCGAGAGCCUGUCGUUCGGCAGCCUCUUUCUCCUUGAGCAGCUGGGCGUGGUCCUGGAGUGCCUUGCACGCCUCGGCAACCUUAGCCCUGCUGUCGUCGUAGGCUUUCUUCGCUCGCUCGGCAGUAGAAAUGGCCCGCUUGACGCAGAGCCACAUGUCCAUAGACGCCUGCACAAAACGAAGAAUCAGAAGCGUGCCCCACUUGGCACAAAAAAGGAAAGAAAAAAAGGAAAGGACGGACGAAAGAAGAAGGAAAUUCUUACCGAAGCCUGAAGAAGGAAGGCGCGUCCGGCCUGCUCCCGAAGAACCUUCUUCGGCAGUUCGUCAAUCUCCGGCAGCUCCAUUUGAGAGCCGAGGAUCAUGUGGUUGACGAACUGCACCGUCUUCGAGGGGCAGGCAAUGGUGACGGCCUCUGUAGGUCCGUCCUCGUCCUCCACCACAAGAACGGCCCUCUAAGCCUCCGACGGACGGCUCCGCUUGGCAGCGGGCGAGGCUUCCAAGUCCACUGUCACCGGCCGCUUCCCGGCAGCUCUGGAGGCGGCGGCAUCGGCAUCGGACUGUCUCGGCGCAGGGGCAUCGGCAGCCGGCCAUGCGACGGGCUCAGCACCCAGCUGUCGCAGGCGCUCCGCGAGGGUCACGUCCUCGGGAUCCGUCGCCUGCCGAACGGGAGACGCCACGAGCUGCUUUUUCUUCUUCUUGCCCUCCAGGCCCAUCAUAAGGCGCCUCCUGGAGGACUCAUUCAUCUUCUUGGCCUCGGCAGCUCUCCUUGCGUCCGUCACUGGUCAACAACAAUCGGUCAGUCGGCAUGCACAAAAAACAAACAAACAAACCAUACAAGAAAGGGGGGAGUAAAAGUAUACUUACUCUCGGCAGGGUUGACGAGGCCGGCUCUGAUCAGAUUGUUGGUGAAGAGGAAGCGCGGAUACACUCGCUCGGCAGCAGGCACCUUCAGCCUUACUCUGUCGAGCUGCCGAAUCUCACUCUGUUUAGGGUUCGGCUGCUUGAGUUUACCUGUCCGGAGAGAGAGUUAGUUGAAAAUAAUAUAAGAAUAAAGAAAGACAAUAUUCAGUCUACCGAUCGGUAACUCAGAAACCUACCGGCGAUUUGAAAUGUCGUGGGUACCGAGAACCGUGGGGGUAUUCCCGAUGGCGAUUCCCAAUCACCAGAUAGUAGCACCCGCCGAUUCCUCCACGACUUCUGGGAAGUUGGCACCGAGCUGAUGAAGUGCCCGCGCUCGGAAGCCUUAAGGCAGUUCGCCUGAACCCAGCCACCAUGAUCGGCACUCUUGGACUUGGUGAUGCUGUACAAAUACGAGAACUGCUCGUAGGAGGGCUCCCCCUCCCCGGCGAUCCCGAAUGCAGCUAUCACCCCCAUCAAGGCCACCCAAAAGUUCGGAUUGUACUGGCCUGGGGCAUACCCGAUCUGGGCAAGUAUCUUCUGCACGGCAGGCUGCAACGGCAACCUAACCCCUUGCAGAAGCACGUCGGUGAAGAAGGUGACUUCACCGUCCCCUGGGUCGCUGAGGGACUCGGUAGGACCCGGAAUCCUUAUCUUCACCGAGUCCGGGAUGAGGUAUUCGGCCCUAAUUUUCUCCAUCUCCCGUUCGGUGAUUUUGUUGGGCUCCAAGUAAUCGACCCGAACAGAGCCUUCUUGGGUACACCCACCGGUAUCCUAGACCGCUCCCGGUGGAUGAUCGUCACCCUCGGCCGAGAAGGGCCGAAAACGCCCUCAUCACGACCGAAGGUGGAGGCCUCCAGCUGAUGCUCAAAGGUACCGAAGCGGGUACCGUCCUUAUAGACCGCGGCUAAGGGAAGCGAUUGCCCCGUCAUAAGUCCCUUGCCGAUGCCGUGGGUGGGAACGGAGUUCACCUCCUCACCGAUUAUCUCAACAUCAGUGUCCUCUCCACCCUCGGCCUCGAGGCUCGCAGCCCCACUGGAUGUGUCCCAGCCCGAUGACAACUCCUCAUUGAACGCAUUGGGCUCACUACCGAAGGACGACUCGCUAGCAGACAUCUACAAAAAAGGAAAGGAAGGCUAAGGCCGUGUCAUAAACUACCCUACUGAUGCCUACGUCACUACCUAUGGCUCACUAGACCACCGAAGGAGAGCCCUACUAACGAUCGGCUAAGCCUAUGCCACGAAAAGACGUACAGAAAUAAAGAGAAAGUAUUUUGGGAGUACCGAACGGUACCUUACCUUGAGUAGUGCGGGGAAGAUUUAACUGCCGAAUGGAGACUUCGGAAAUCGCCUUGAAUGCCGAGAACUUCUGUGAAAAUCUUCUGGAUUGCCGUUCACUCUCUUCGGAAAUCGCCUACACAGAGCUCUCGGGUCAACUCUCAAAUGCAAAGUGAGCUUUACGCCUGGAGCAGCCUCUAUUUAUAGGGAGAGGGCUGCAACGGCACGUCUCGGGAAACCAAACGGCUCAUAAAUGCGACCGUCGGGCGUCACUUCACUGGCCACGUGUCGCCCGGUGGAUGGCGAUGUGGACUGCACGCCAGGCACGAAAGACGAAGCGUCUCCGCAUGCCAGGCACGGAAGACGAAGCGUCUCUCUGCCCUCACCCCUCUCAGCAUCGACGACCCUUCGGGUCUCAGGGGAGUCUCUUCAAAAUGAGCUUACCGAACGGCAGGGCACCUACGAACUGCCAUGGAGAACUAAAUUCCCUUCCGAAGAACCUUCGGAAGAGAACUUGGGGGACUACUGUUUAUACCGGAAAUAAACGACCUGUGACUGCCAAACACGUGGACAGAAUCGAUAUUUAUCACAAUAACCCUUCGGCGUGUGCCCUACCGAAGCCGAACAUUUUGACAUUUUGCACCAAGACACGUGUCGUGCUUACAAUCAACUUCUACAGUCCCACAUCGAAAAUAUGAGCAUGGUGCACGCCUCCCAAGGCCUAUAUAAGGAAACCCAUAUCCCCAAAAGGAAGGAAGAAAAACCAAUGGUACGCUACCGCUUGAUCUGUAAUCUGAUAUUUACUAAAACCGUACUUAUUUAAGCAUCGGAGAGUCUUCGGCCGGUACCACACCGAUAUCCCUAGGCCUUACCGAACGUGUCCUUUUGCAGGAACUUAUAUCUUCCGAAGGCAAAUUCCCCUUCCGAAGACACAAGAUCACUAAGUUGAGCGGGCCACGUGUCAAACCACUUUUUCGCAUCAACAGUUGUUGUUGUUGUCGUCGUCGUCUUCUUUGUAGUGUUGUCAGAUCUAUUAAUUUCAGGCUUACUACGUGUAUUUAUUUUAUUUUAUUUUUUGAAAACUAGCUAGGGAUGUUGUGAUCUGAUUUUGUGUCUAUCAGUUGAAGUGUGGGUGGGAUUUUUUUUUUCUCUUAGUGGUGACAGUACUAUGUAACUAUUAUAUACUUGCAGUUGCAAUUCAAUUUUGAUCUGUGUUCUUCGUAUUUACCUUUGAAUUAAUAAAAUAUAGAGGUAUAAAUCAUUCAUAAAUGGCCUUUUUAUAUCUGGAGCGGGAUCAAAUUGAAGUGUUGUGCACACUAUUUAGUAUUCAUAUUGAAAACAUGUAACAUAUAUACUUCAAGUAUGUGCAUGUAUAGCGUGUAUUUCACACGCACGCGCACACGUAUAUAGUUACCAAAUUAUUCAUGCCUAAAAUUACCAAAAUACCUGCAUAGUGUAUAAACAGGAGAACAUACCAAUUAAGCUUGGGAAGCCGCAGUUUUAGGUUGAAGGGAUAAUCAAAUAUGGGGAAGGUUUCAGGAAUUUUCUUGUUACUAAAUUUACAUGUUUGUACAAUUUUUUAUAGCACCAUAUUCCAUGCCUAGAGUGUUAACAUUCAAAGCAUAUUAUCAUGAAAUUCACAAUAUUGUAUAUUUUGCUCAUGUAGGCUUCACAGAGUGCCAAAACCCCUCAAACAAGUACUAAAAGGGGAAAAGCAACUCGAGACUUCGACUUUGCGAACCCACCUGAAAAGCUAACAUGGGUCCUCAUUGAUGCUGACAAUGGUGAAUGGAACCCGUACUUCGAAGGCAUCAUGGUUCCGGAAAAGUUGAAGAAUGAAUGGGCCAAGGAAUUUCAUUCCGUCUGUGGAAAUAUGUGAAGCAGACCCAAACAUUGCUUUUCAGCUUACUCUUUGAACAGUAGCCAAAAAUAAAAAGUCUUUAUCUUUUGAACAUUCCAUCAUGACUAGUUUAUUGUCUUCAAUUCUAACUUCGUUUAGCCAAAGCAUUAGCUGCUUGGUUUCCCUGCAUUUGCCA
rnacentral:lncRNA from 1 species